rnacentral:tRNA from 1 species
CCUUCGAUAGCUCAGUUGGUAGAGCGGAGGACUGUAGUUGGCUUGCUGUAGUAAUCCUUAGGUCGCUGGUUCGAUUCCGGCUCGAAGGA